CACCCACAACAUCCUAUUAAAAUAACCUAAAUGUUAAUUAUUUGCUUUAUUUCAACUAUGGUCAAGCAUCUUUAAUUCAAAACCUGUUGAUUUUUAAAAUCAGUCAAUUUACAUGGUAUUUGCUGGAAGUUUCUGAACCAAUUUGGUGCGAAAUUUUACACUAUUGUUCAAGACUAGUAGGGUUAAGCUUGUAAACAAAUUACCCCCUCACCU
rnacentral:lncRNA from 1 species